AUCCAGAUGACGAAUCCCGAACAAGGCGAAAUGUGCGUCCUGGAU
rfam:Trichobilharzia regenti genome assembly, scaffold: TRE_scaffold0002360